rnacentral:rRNA from 1 species
AUUGAACGCUGGCGGCAGGCUUAACACAUGCAAGUCGAGCGGGGGAAGGUAGCUUGCUACCGGACCUAGCGGCGGACGGGUGAGUAAUGCUUAGGAAUCUGCCUAUUAGUGGGGGACAACAUCUCGAAAGGGAUGCUAAUGCCGCAUACGUCCUACGGGAGAAAGCAGGGGAUCUUCGGACCUUGCGCUAAUAGAUGAGCCUAAGUCGGAUUAGAUAGUUGGUGGGGUAAAGGCCUACCAAGGCGACGAUCUGUAGCGGGUCUGAGUGGAUGAUCCGCCACACUGGGACUGAGACACGGCCCAGACUACUACGGGAGGCAGCAGUGGGGAAUAUUGGACAAUGGUGGGAACCCUGAUCCAGCCAUGCCGCGUGUGUGAAGAAGGCCUUAUGGUUGUAAAGCACUUUAAGCGAGGAGGAGGCUACUCUAGUUAAUACCUAGGGAUAGUGGACGUUACUCGCAGAAUAAGCACCGGCUAACUCUGUGCCAGCCGCCGCAGUAA